AACGAACGCUGGCGGCAGGCUUAACACAUGCAAGUCGAGCGCCCCGCAAGGGGAGCGGCAGACGGGUGAGUAACGCGUGGGAACGUACCCUUUGCUACGGAAUAGCUCCGGGAAACUGGAAUUAAUACCGUAUGUGCCCUAUGGGGGAAAGAUUUAUCGGCAAAGGAUCGGCCCGCGUUGGAUUAGCUAGUUGGUGGGGUAAUGGGCUACCAAGGCGACGAUCCAUAGCUGGUCUGAGAGGAUGAUCAGCCACAUUGGGACUGAGACACGGCCCAAACUCCUACGGGAGGCAGCAGUGGGGAAUAUUGGACAAUGGGCGCAAGCCUGAUCCAGCCAUGCCGCGUUAGUGAUGAAGGCCUUAGGGUUGUAAAGCUCUUUCACCGGAGAAGAUAAUGACGGUAUCCGGAGAAGAAGCCCCGGCUAACUUCGUGCCAGCCGCCGCCGUAAGAC
rnacentral:rRNA from 1 species